CAAUGAUCUUCAAAACAGUAAAGUUGCUGAGUAAAAGUGGAAUGGGGCUUUCAGGUGCCUCUGGCCUUUUCCGAGCCCUGCCUCCGCUGGCGGCCCACUGUGCAGGUGUUUCUUGUUCUCUGUGUGAGCUUCACCUUAAAGCAGGGACUUCUGAGGCAGGACUUCUCAGGUGGUCAGAACCUUUAAGGAAAACUACUGGGAGACCCCUCUGGACACAGGAUACUCAAGAAUUUCACUCAGUGCAACUUGGUGUCUACAGCCUCAAAGUCAAGAUUAAUGAUUCUUUUUUUGUUUUGUUUUGUACUAUCACACAAUCUGCGUUUAUUUGUCUUCACAUUUUUCUCACUAUGUGGAUAUUUCUUUGAGAAUGUUCCUGUGAGAAUGCGGCCCACUUUCCAGGGCCUCGUUCCCAAGCAAGCUCCUGGGAUCUUCCUAUCUCCAUCCUCAGCACUGUUUACAGAUGUGCGCUGAAUUUCAGAAGCCUUGAAGCUUUAGCUCCUAUGGCUGUGUCUAUAAUACUUCUUAUACAGAUUUUUGUGC
rnacentral:lncRNA from 1 species